ACACACACACACACACACACACAGAUUUGCGCACAAAUAUCCCCCUCAAAGGUGCAUGUGAAUCAUAUGCUUCCUGGCUAUUUGAUUAUAAUUGUCAGUUAUUUUCAAUACUUUUUGUCUGUGUGUGUGUGCUGUGUGUGUGUGCCUGUGUGUGU